CCCUAUCCCGUGUGACCGGGGGCACACAGAUAAAUAAAAACAAUUUAAAAUUCAAUCGUACAUUUAUUCCUGUGUGUUGCGGAUGAUGAUUUUGUCGUCCGGAAGCGAUUUCGACAUCUUUUCUGAGAUUCUUAGUAAACAUCGUGUAGAACGAAUCGAAAAUGUAAUCAUCGUACGUUUAAAAUACAGAAAAAAACCUAUUGAGUUUGGAGCAUCG